rnacentral:rRNA from 1 species
CAAUAGCGUAUAUUAAAGUUGUUGCAGUUAAAAGCUCGUAGUUGGAUUUCUGGCAGGAGCGACCGGUCACGCACUCUGUGCGUGAACUUGUGUUGUCUCUGGCCAUCCUUGGGGAGAUCCUGUUUGGCAUUAAGUUGUCGGGCAGGGGAUACCCAUCGUUUACUGUGAAAAAUUAGAGUGUUUAAAGCAGGCUUAUGCCGUUGAAUAUAUUAGCAUGGAAUAAUAAGAUAGGACUUCGGAACUAUUUUGUUGGUUUGCGUUACGAAGUAAUGAUUAAUAGGGACAGUUGGGGGUAUUCGUAUUUCAUUGUCAGAGGUGAAAUUCUUGGAUUUCUGAAAGACGAACUACUGCGAAAGCAUUUUACUACGAAGUAGUUUCGUUUACUAAUUAACUAAGAAAACGGAAAACGGUUAAAAGGGGUUAAGGGGUACGUAACGGAAACGGAACGUUAAGUUAAGUAACCUAACCUA